CCCGUUCUAUGGAUUUGAAUCCUAAGAUGACGAACCAAGCAACCCCACAAUAAUAGUAAUAUGAAGAACCUCUUGAUCACGCAACCAAAGACACACCCAGAUUUUGAACGCCACAAUAAAGCAUCUUGAUAAGUUUGAAAAGUCUUAUAAGAAGAACAAAGAUUGGAAAGCAAGAAUUGCCUUUUAAAUUAAUUCUCAAUAAUGUCAAAGUUGUUCUUACAAUCAAUAGGAGAAAAUAUUUAUACUAAUCCUAAAAAAUAUUGUCUUGGAUGGAAAUUAUGCUCCAAAUACCCAAAAAUAAUAAUUAGAAUCAAAUUUUAUGGAAACCAGAAGAAUUCCCAAAAAUAGAAAACGCGUCACAAAUUUUGUAAUAUGCGGCCGCAUAGAGUGUUUCUAUGCGGUAGCAUGGAAGAGUUGUUGUUGCCCAAAAAUUUCCCUACAUGGGUCUAUAUGACUGCAAGCCAACUGCAUAGUACUGAAUUUUAGCUCCAACUUCGUCCGCUUCUAUUACGUUGAUCCAUUUCGAUUCCGCUCUCGACCCCAACAUGAAAGUUGCCUCGUUUUGCAUCUUGAACAUCGUUCCUUCAAUAGUAGAUUGAACAAGUAGUCUCAUUGCUUGAUUUACCCGCUUUGCCCUCGAACGUGUUAUGGUCCACCUUCAAUACUCAGCAGGUCUUGAUUCGGACUUGUCUUCGUGACUCUCACAUCUUGGAUCAUAUCAUCCUCUCUCUCUUCAAAAUGAUUCGUCCUCGGAUCUGCACCUGCAUCAAAAAGAAAGAGACCAGACACAUUAAAUGUAGUUGAAACAUUAUACUCACCUGAAAUAUCCACUUUGUAUGCAUUAUCGUUGAUAUUUUCGAUGACUUGAAACGGACCAUCUUCCCAUGCCUGCAACUUAGACUUUCUCUGCUCUGGAAAACGCUCAUUUCUAAAAUGUACCCAAUCACCUGGUUUAAAUGUCACGCGCUUUCUUCCUUUGUUUGCCUUUGAUGCAAUAAGCUUACUCCUUUCUUUAAUUUACAUCUUGAUCUUCUCGUGGAAUGACUUUACCAACUCAGUUUUUCUCUUACCAUCCAAACUAUCUCGUUCAUUCAUCGGUAAAGGUAACAAAUCCAAGGAAGUUAGUGGGUUAAGCCCAUAAAUGAUUUCAAAAGGUGAGAACGAAGUAGUAAAAUCUAUAGCUCUAUUAUAUGCAAAUUCAACAAAAGAUAGGCACUCUUCCCAACUCUUCAAGUUUUUAUUUAUUACAGUGCGUAAUAAUUGAGUCAUGGUCCUAUUGACCACCUCAGUUUGUCCCUUGGUUUGUGGGUGACAUGUUGUGGAAAAUAAUAAUUUCGUGCCUAAUUUACCCCACAAAAGCCACCAAAAAUGACUCAAAAAUUUUACAUCCCUGUUUGACAUGAUAUUCCCAGGGAUCCUAUGCAAACGCACUAUCUCUUUAAAGAACAAAUUUGCUAUGUGAGCGGCAUCAUCAGUUUUAUGACACGGUAUGAAAUGCACUAUCUUACUAAACCUAUCUACCACCACAAAAAUAGAAUCCCGUUCACUCUUAUUCCUAGGUAAAUCCAACACAAAAUCCAAGGUUCACUAGGAGUAGGUAACGGUGUGUACAACCCUCGAGGUAAAACCUUAGAUUUAGCCUCCUUACAAGUUAUGCAUUGGCUAAAUAUCCGUUCAAUGUCACUUUUCAUUUUAGGCUAAUAAAAAUGCUCCUUUAACAUUUCUAAAGUUUUCUUAACCCCACAGUGUCCCAUCAAUCCACCGCUAUAUGCCUCUCUUACUAGCAAUUCUCGCAUCGAACACUUAGGAAUACACAACUUUUUCGCGAAACAAGUACCCCUCAUUCCUAAAGAACUUGUCUAUAGACCCCUUAUUACAUGAUUUAUACACAUCAGAAAAAUCCAAGCCAUUCACAUACAUAUCUUUAAUGUGCUCAAAACCAAGUAAUUUAGAACUAUGAGAAGUUAGUAACACAUACCUGCGAGACAAAGCAUCUGCCACCACAUUAUCUUUACCUUGCUUAUAGCGAAUGACAUAGGGGAAUGUUUCUAUAAAUUCUAUCUACCUUACAUGCCUCUUGUUCAGUUUUUUUGACCCUGCAAAUGUUUGAGAGACAUAUGAUCAGUGUGUUUUACAAAUUCCUUAGGCCACAAGUAAUGCUGCCAAGUCUCCAAAAUUCGAACAAGUGAGUACAACUCUUUGUCAUACGUAGGGUAGUUAAGAGCGGCUCCACUCAGCUUCUCACUAAAAUAAGCCAUUGGCCUGUUGUCCUGCAUCAAUAUUGCUCCAAUCGCUAUUCCUGAGGCAUCACACUCAAUCUCGAAUGUUUUGUCAAAAUUAGGUAAAGCUAAAAUAGGUGCUUUACAUAAUUGAUCUUUAAUUGUAUUAAAUGCUUGCUCCUGCUUACUAUCCCAAUGAAAAUCUAUGCUCUUCUUUACUACCUUAGUGAGUGGUGUAAUCUUUCACAAAUCGCCUAUAGAAACUAGCCAAUCCAUUAAAACUCCUUACUUCGGC
rnacentral:lncRNA from 1 species